rnacentral:lncRNA from 1 species
GACAUGGGUAUACCUGUGCAUUGUGUGUAUUCCUUUGCAGUCUAUGUGUGUGCCUGUGUGGUGUGGGUAUGCCUAUGCCCUUUGUGUGCACCUGUGUGAUGUAGAUGUGCCUGUACCCCAGCUGUUUCUGUAUGUAUCAGUGCCUGGAUGGGUCCUGGAGCCUCUGGCUGCUCUUCUCUUUAUAGGCUCUGUCUCUCUAACCUGGACUUCUCAGAGGAAGAAGAGAACAGUGCAUAUUCACCACACUGAAAGGCAGCCUCUAGACCAGCCCUGGAUGGAUUGCACAAACUGGAGACUGCGGAAGACCUCUGCCAAGGAAAGCCUGGCCCUCCCCAGUCCUGUCUGCCCCCUCUGAGCCCCGUCUAAGAUUACAGCCCAUGGCCCUUCCUCUCCUUCCUUUCCCAGAGCAAGAGCCACAGCAGUUAGCCCAUGAGAGUGCCAGAGACAGCCCUGGCCUGAGGAACCAAGGACCAGAAGGGAAGACCAGGCCUCUAGUUCCUCGGCACCAGACCUGACCCAGCC